rnacentral:rRNA from 1 species
UUUUAUUUGAGAGUUUGAUCCUGGCUCAGGAUGAACGCUGGCGGCGUGCCUAACACAUGCAAGUUGAGCGAUUUACUUCGGUAAAGAGCGGCGGACGGGUGAGUAACGCGUGGGUAACCUACCCUGUACACACGGAUAACAUACCGAAAGGUAUGCUAAUACGGGAUAAUAUAUUUGAGAGGCAUCUCUUGAAUAUCAAAGGUGAGCCAGUACAGGAUGGACCCGCGUCUGAUUAGCUAGUUGGUAAGGUAACGGCUUACCAAGGCGACGAUCAGUAGCCGACCUGAGAGGGUGAUCGGCCACAUUGGAACUGAGACACGGUCCAAACUCCUACGGGAGGCAGCAGUGGGGAAUAUUGCACAAUGGGCGAAAGCCUGAUGCAGCAACGCCGCGUGAGUGAUGAAGGCCUUCGGGUCGUAAAACUCUGUCCUCAAGGAAGAUAAUGACGGUACUUGAGGA